UACGGAGGGUGCAAGCGUUAUCCGGAUUUAUUGGGUUUAAAGGGUCCGUAGGCGGGCUAAUAAGUCAGUGGUGAAAUCUCAUAGCUCAACUAUGAAACUGCCAUUGAUACUGUUAGUCUUGAGUAUAUUUGAGGUAGCUGGAAUAAGUAGUGUAGCGGUGAAAUGCAUAGAUAUUACUUAGAACACCAAUUGCGAAGGCAGGUUACCAAGUUAUAACUGACGCUGAUGGACGAAAGCGUGGGGAUCAAACAGG
rnacentral:rRNA from 1 species